CAGCCGUAAACAAUGUGCGUUAGGUGUGUCGGUAACCACGCGUUACUGAUGCGCCGAAGAGAAAUCGUGAAACGCACCACCUGGGAAGUACGGUCGCAAGGCUGAAACUUAAAGGAAUUGGCGGGGGAGCACCACAACAGGUGGAGCCUGCGGUUUAAUUGGAUUCAACGCCGGACAUCUCACCGGAUAAGACAGCAGAAUGAUUGCCGGGCUGAAGACUCUGCAUGACUAGCUGAGAGGAGGUGCAUGGCGUAGACGUCU
rnacentral:rRNA from 1 species